rnacentral:rRNA from 1 species
UGAGUAACACGUAUCCAACCUGCCGUCUACUCUUGGACAGCCUUCUGAAAGGAAGAUUAAUACAAGAUGGCAUCAUGAGUUCACAUGUUCACAUGAUUAAAGGUAUUCCGGUAGACGAUGGGGAUGCGUUCCAUUAGAUAGUAGGCGGGGUAACGGCCCACCUAGCCUUCGAUGGAUAGGGGUUCUGAGAGGAAGGUCCCCCACAUUGGAACUGAGACACGGUCCAA